GUGCUAUGGUGGUACAUAUUCUAAAAUUGGAACAAUACAGAGAAGAUUAGUAUGGCCCCUGUGCAAAGGAUGAUAUGCAAAUUUGUGAAGCAUUCCAUAUUUUU
rnacentral:snRNA from 1 species